CAACAAUCAGCUUUAUUUACUUUUCAGUCAGUUGCCCAUUGCCAUGACAGAAGCAUCGAUUUGUAUCUUUUAGAGAUCCAUAAGUGCAGACUGGAGCUCCAGUGGCACGGGUGGAUGGAAGCACUUCUGUAAGAAUGGUCGUUCCUUCAAGAGACUCUUCUGAAGCCUGGUUUGAUUUGGAGGGGGGAAAAAGGGUCAAGAUAACAGAAAACUUCCAGUCGGGUACCAGCAGCUCCUGGAGAUGGUUUUGGCCACUGAGCAGCAGAUCCAUCUGUUCUCCUGUUUUCCAGGCGGACAGGAAUUUCUGCCAGGCCAGCCCUGAGCCAGGCAGAAGCUGUGGCAAUAUGGAGCAGAAUUUGGUUUCAUGUUAGCAGGCCUUUCAGGAGGUUUAUUGACUCCAUUUCUCUCUUGUGCUAGGUUAAUCCAUGCAGCUUCCAGCUGAUCUGGAGUGAUGAGUGCUUUUGUCUGCAAAACGCUCUCCAGACACAUUCCUGAGGCUGCCAGUAAACAGAACCACAGGUGGAAAGUGUGACUGCUGAAGGAAAAGAGUGGGUGAAAAGGUGAUUGUUAGAGCUUGGAGCCCCAGAGAAAAGAUUGAACAAAAAUCCAAAUCAGUUUAAAAGCAGAUUGAGACCAAGACUGGGAGAAAAUAACCACUUCCAAUUUCCAAAAGGAUGCCAAUAUCUUACAGACACUCAGUGAGAGGACUUGGCCAGUCAAAGUUCUGGGAGCAGAAAAUCCCAUUGUUCACAAGAUUAGUUUGCCAUCCAAACUGAUGUAUAUUGAGCAUUGUCGACCUCAUUCAAAGCUGAAAACUCUUUGUGCAUUAAUUAUGAAAUAAAUCUUGCUUCAGUGUUGUAAGUAGCA
rnacentral:lncRNA from 1 species